rnacentral:rRNA from 1 species
GACGAACGCUGGCGGCGUGCUUAACACAUGCAAGUCGAACGGAAAGGCCCUGCUUUUGUGGUGUUCUCGAGUGGCGAACGGGUGAGUAACACGUGAGUAACCUUCCCUUUACUUUGGGAUAACUUCAGGAAACUGGGUCUAUUACCGUAUAGGAGCUCCUGCUGCAUGGUGGGGGUUGGUAAGUUUCGUCGGUUGGGGAUGGACUCGCGGCUUAUCAGCUUUUUUGUGGUGUAGUGGCUUACCAAGGCUUUGACGGGUAGCCGGCCUGAGAGGGUGAACAGGCACAAUGGGACUGAGAGAGGGAGCAGACUGCAACGGGAGGCAGCAGUGGGGAAUAUUGCACAAUGGGGGGAAGCGUGAUGAAGAAACGCGGCGUGCGGGAUGAAGGCCUUCGGGUUGUAAACCGAUUUAGGCUGUGACGAAGCGUGAGUGACGGUAAUGGGUAAAGAAGCACCGGCUAACUACGUG